GACGAACGCUGGCGGCGUGCCUAAUACAUGCAAGUAGAACGCUGAAGAGAGGAGCUUACUCUUCUUGGAUGAGUUGCGAACGGGUGAGUAGCGCGUAGGUAACCUGCCUUGUAGCGGGGGAUAACUAUUGGAAACGAUAGCUAAUACCGCAUAACAAUGGAUGACACAUGUCAUUUAUUUGAAAGGGGCAAUUGCUCCACUACAAGAUGGACCUGCGUUGUAUUAGCUAGUAGGUGAGGUAAUGGCUCACCUAGGCGACGAUACAUAGCCGACCUGAGAGGGGGAUCGGCCACACUGGGACUGAGACACGGCCCAGACUCCUACGGGAGGCAGCAGUAGGGAAUCUUCGGCAAUGGGGGCAACCCUGACCGAGCAACGCCGCGUGAGUGAAGAAGGGUUUCGGAUCGUAAAGCUCUGUUGUAAGUCAAGAACGGGUGUGAGAGUGGAAAGUUCACACUGUGACGGUAGCUUACCAGAAAGGGACGGCUAACUACGUG
rnacentral:rRNA from 1 species